GGGAAACUGAGAAUAAUACCCCAUAGGUCAUGGAUGCUGGAAUGCUUCAUGGCUCAAUGUUGCGGCGCCCAAGGAUGAGUCUGCGGCCUAUCAGGUUGUAGUGGGUGUAAUGGACCCACUAGCCAGUGGCGGGUACGGGCGUUGGGAGACGUCGCCCGGAGUUGGAUUCUGAGACACUAAUCCAGGCCCUACGGGGCGCAGCAGUCGCGAAAACUUGGCAAUGCGGGAAACCGCGACCAGGGAAUUCCAAGUGCAUACGUUUUACGUAUGCUGUUCGUUUGCCUAAAAAGCAGGCGAAGUAAGGGCUGGGAAAGACAGGUGCCAGCCGCCGCGGUAAUACCUGCAGCCCAAGUGGUGAUCGUUAUUAUUGAGCCUAAAGCGUCCGUAGCCGGUCUGGUAAACCCUUAGGUAAAUCGGGCAGCUUAACUGUUCGAAUUCCGAGGGGACUGCCAGACUUGGGACCGGGAGAGGUCAGAGGUACUCCAGGGGUAGGGGCUAAAUCCUGUAAUCCUUGGAGGACCACCAGUGGCGAAGGCGUCUGACUAGAACGGAUUCGACGGUAAGGGACGAAACCCUGGGGCGCAAUCCUCCGUAAGAGGAAUUAGCCCUCUUCAGAGGGCGCAUACGGGAUUAGAUACCCCCGGUAGUCCAGGGCGUAAACGCUGCAGGCUUGGUGUCGGAGGUCCUACGCGGACGUCCGGUGCCGGAGUGAAGAUGUUAAGCCUGCCGCUUGGGAGUACGGUCGCAAAGACUGAAACUUAA
rnacentral:rRNA from 1 species